CCUGAUUGAUUCUGUCAGCGCGAUAUGCUCAAGUAAAAGAUUAAGCCAUGCAUGCUUUGAUUCAUCAAUGAAAUUGCGUACGGCUCAUUAGAGCAGAUAUCACCUUGUUCGGAAUAUUAUAUGGAUAACUGCGGAAAUACUGGAGCUAAUACAUGUCAUACAUCCCCAACGUAAGGCGGGGUGCAAUUAUUAGAACAGACCAAACGUUUUCGGACGUUGUUUGUUGACUCUGAAUAAAGCAGUUUACUGUCAGUUUCGACUGACUCUAUCCGAAAAGGGUGUCUGCCCUUUCAACUAGAUGGUAGUUUAUUGGACUACCAUGGUUGUUACGGGUAACGGAGAAUAAGGGUUCGACUCCGGAGAGGGAGCCUUAGAAACGGCUACCACGUCCAAGGAAGGCAGCAGGCGCGAAACUUAUCCACUGUUGAGUAUGAGAUAGUGACUAAAAAUAUAAAGACUCAUCCUUUUGGAUGAGUUAUUUCAAUGAGUUGAAUACAAAUGAUUCUUCGAGUAGCAAGGAGAGGGCAAGUCUGGUGCCAGCAGCCGCGGUAAUUCCAGCUCUCCUAGUGUAUCUCGUUAUUGCUGCGGUUAAAAAGCUCGUAGUUGGAUCUAGGUUACGUGCUGCAGUUCGCAAUUUGCGUCAACUGUAGUCGUGACUUCUAAUUUGCUGGUUUGAGGUUGGGUUCGCCCUUCAACUGCCAGCAGGUUUACCUUGAAUAAAUCAGAGUGCUCAAAACAAGUGUUUGCUUGAAUAGCUCAUCAUGGAAUAAUGAAACAGGACUUCGGUUCUUUUUGUUGGUUCUAGAACUGAUUUAAUGGUUAAGAGGGACAAACCGGGGGCAUUCGUAUCAUUACGCGAGAGGUGAAAUUCGUGGACCGUAGUGAGACGCCCAACAGCGAAAGCAUUUGCCAAGAAUGUCUUCAUUAAUCAAGAACGAAAGUCAGAGGUUCGAAGGCGAUUAGAUACCGCCCUAGUUCUGACCGUAAACGAUGCCAUCUCGCGAUUCGGAGGGUUUUUGCCCUGCCGAGGAGCUAUCCGGAAACGAAAGUCUUUCGGUUCCGGGGGUAGUAUGGUUGCAAAGCUGAAACUUAAAGAAAUUGACGGAAGGGCACCACAAGGCGUGGAGCUUGCGGCUUAAUUUGACUCAACACGGGAAAACUCACCCGGUCCGGACACCAUUAGGACUGACAGAUUGAAAGCUCUUUCUCGAUUUGGUGGUUGGUGGUGCAUGGCCGUUCUUAGUUGGUGGAGUGAUUUGUCUGGUUUAUUCCGAUAACGAGCGAGACUCUAGCCUGCUAAAUAGUUGGCGAAUCUUCGGGUUCGUAUAACUUCUUAGAGGGAUAAGCGGUGUUUGGCCGCACACCAAAAUGGAUUCCAUGCGAAUCUUGUCCACAA
rnacentral:rRNA from 1 species